UUAAAACACCACCAUCAAGUGAGCUGUGUUUCUAAUAAACGCACCAAAUACCAUCAAUUAACGUCCCAGCGAAUAAAAAAUUAUCCCUCGGCCGAGAAUGCCUUUGUCUUGAAUAAAUGAACCUAAUUAAGUGUGUUUUCCAGUCCAAUUUACAAAAUUCCCGGUCUUUUGAUGUUUAUCGAUUGGCAAAACGUAAACAAUUGAGUCGUGUUAUUUUACUGUUGACACUUUGCGUCGGUGGUUCACAUUGUCAAUGGUAACCGAGUUGACAGUCAAGAAACGUCAAAUUUUCCAGAAAUGAACAAAAUCGAGCAGCUCAUAGGGAAAUUAUUUGGGAUAAUUGCCGAAAUACCACCAGUUAGGCGGUUUCUAGCCAACUUUAAACCCGAGCGACCCAUGAAGUAUCCUUACACCUUCACUGCGAAAAUGGUACAAUUUCCGUUUAGGUAUUUGUAUACAAAUAACAGAUUUAUCAGAUAUUAUCCACACGCCGUUGUCUUAUCGAUGCCUGUUUUCUAUUAUUUUCACCGCUUGGCAAACUCGCCGGAGAAUAAACAGAAAUGGGCCGAAAUCCGGCGAAAGGAACGAGAAGAGGUCCACUAUCACUAAGACUUGCUCCGUUUUCCCUUUACAUUAGCGCGGUAAUAAUAAUCAAAUAAAGUGGAAUGUAAACAAGUUUUUGCCUCCCCCAAAACUACCUAAAUUCUGUUACUUCUGGAACUAAUAAAAGCCAGCUUCAUAAUAAAAUAGAUCAACAAUCCUGAAGGGGCAGCACAAAGACAACAUUGUAAAUUCAUUGAAAACGUCGAGCAAACACACAGAAGCACUUAACACGAUUUGCCCCUUUCAAAGCUCCUAAAAUAAAACUUUUUUUCCGUCUAA